rnacentral:rRNA from 1 species
GACGAACGCUGGCGGCGUGCCUAAUACAUGCAAGUAGAACGCUGAAGGAGGAGCUUGCUUCUCUGGAUGAGUUGCGAACGGGUGAGUAACGCGUAGGUAACCUGCCUGGUAGCGGGGGAUAACUAUUGGAAACGAUAGCUAAUACCGCAUAAUAGUAGAUGUUGCAUGACAUUUGCUUAAAAGGUGCAAUUUCAUCACUACCAGAUGGACCUGCGUUGUAUUAGCUAGUUGGUGAGGUAACGGCUCACCAAGGCGACGAUACAUAGCCGACCUGUGAGGGUGAUCGGCCAAACUGGGACUGGGAAACGGCCCAGAAUCCUACGGGAGGCAGCAGUAGGGAAACUUCGGAAAUGGACGGAAGACUGAACGAGAAACGCCGCGUGAGUGAAGAAGGUUUUCGGAUCGUAAAGCUCAGUUGUAAGAGAAGAAAGAGAGUGAGAGUGGAAAGUUCACACUGUGACGGUAUCUUACCAGAAAGGGACGGCUAACUACGUG